rnacentral:rRNA from 1 species
GAUGAACGCUGGCGGCGUGCCUAAUACAUGCAAGUCGAGCGAAUGGAUUAAGAGCUUGCUCUUAUGAAGUUAGCGGCGGACGGGUGAGUAACACGUGGGUAACCUGCCCAUAAGACUGGGAUAACUCCGGGAAACCGGGGCUAAUACCGGAUAACAUUUUGAACCGCAGGGUUCGAAAUUGAAAGGCGGCUUCGCCUGUCACUUAUGGAUGGACCCGAGUCGCAUUAGCUAGUUGGUGAGGUAACGGCUCACCAAGGCAACGAGGCGUAGCCGACCUGAGAGGGUGAUCGGCCACACUGGGACUGAGACACGGCCCAGACUCCUACGGGAGGCAGCAGUAGGGAAUCUUCCGCAAUGGACGAAAGUCUGACGGAGCAACGCCGCGUGAGUGAUGAAGGCUUUCGGGUCGUAAAACUCUGUUGUUAGGGAAGAACAAGUGCUAGUUGAAUAAGUUGGCACCUUGACGGUACCUAACCAGAAAGCCACGGCUAACUACGUGCCAGCAGCCGCCGCAG